rnacentral:rRNA from 1 species
AGGACGAACGCUGGCGGCGUGCUUAACACAUGCAAGUCGAACGGAAAGGCCCUUUCGGGGGUACUCGAGUGGCGAACGGGUGAGUAACACGUGGGUGAUCUGCCCUGCACUUCGGGAUAAGCUUGGGAAACUGGGUCUAAUACCGGAUAGGACUACGAAUCGCAUGGUUUGUGGUGGAAAGCUUUUGCGGUGUGGGAUGGGCCCGCGGCCUAUCAGCUUGUUGGUGGGUGAUGGCCUACCAAGGCGACGACGGGUA